AAUGCCUAGGAAUCUGCCUGGUAGUGGGGGAUAACGCUCGGAAACGGACGCUAAUACCGCAUACGUCCUACGGGAGAAAGCAGGGGACCUUCGGGCCUUGCGCUAUCAGAUGAGCCUAGGUCGGAUUAGCUAGUUGGUGAGGUAAUGGCUCACCAAGGCGACGAUCCGUAACUGGUCUGAGAGGAUGAUCAGUCACACUGGAACUGAGACACGGUCCAGACUCCUACGGGAGGCAGCAGUGGGGAAUAUUGGACAAUGGGCGAAAGCCUGAUCCAGCCAUGCCGCGUGUGUGAAGAAGGUCUUCGGAUUGUAAAGCACUUUAAGUUGGGAGGAAGGGCAUUAACCUAAUACGUUAGUGUUUUGACGUUACCGACAGAAUAAGCACCGGCUAACUCUGUGCCAGCAGCCGCGGUAAUACAGAGGGUGCAAGCGUUAAUCGGAAUUACUGGGCGUAAAGCGCGCGUAGGUGGUUCGUUAAGUUGGAUGUGAAAUCCCCGGGCUCAACCUGGGAACUGCAUUCAAAACUGUCGAGCUAGAGUAUGGUAGAGGGUGGUGGAAUUUCCUGUGUAGCGGUGAAAUGCGUAGAUAUAGGAAGGAACACCAGUGGCGAAGGCGACCACCUGGACUGAUACUGACACUGAGGUGCGAAAGCGUGGGGAGCAAACAGGAUUAGAUACCCCUGGUAGUCCACGCCGUAAACGAUGUCAACU
rnacentral:rRNA from 1 species